AUUCCAAAAUUUUUUGCGUGAAAACAUAAAUACUCUUCCUGAGAAAGAGUUUGGGGUAGCAUGAAAUAUACAAGUAUAGACUUUAAAAAAUUUCCUAAAAGAACACUCACGAUUUUUUUUUUUUUUUUUUAACAGAGGAUGCAAUCUUGGGCGAAACCUACUUUUUGGUCUCUGUCUACUAAACAGCAUAAGCUUUAUCUUUGAUGCUUAGCUUAUCCAGCAAAAGAGAGGCCCAUAGCCCCCUGUGCUAGAAAGAGCAUGGGCUGGGAAUUAAAAGGCAGGUUUCCCUAGACUUGACUGUCUUGAGUUUCACUGUUUGACGCAGUCCAUUUUAUUUCCUUCCCUGGCCCAUAGUUUACCAGUUUAUAAAAACAGGCUAGACUAGCUGAUCCCUAAGGGUUCUUUUCAUCUUUAGUAUCUUAUAAUUUAUUUUUCUUGAAUUAGGUAGAAGGUAAAGACAAAUAGUUAUAAUAGCACAGGAUUCUGUGAAGAUUAAAUGAUACCUACUGUAGGACGUCUAGUUUUCAACCUUGCUGCCUAUAUUUCCUUUCAAUGGGAUCAUUUUGCUAUACUAUUCAUAGCUAAUAUAUGACUUCGUCUUUACAAUCAACUAGCUUGAUCUACAGUGAAAUCUCCUGGUUCCACCCUAUCACUACCACCCCCACUUUCUAAAUCUUGGAACUUCUUAGCCUUGAAGCAGCUUCUUGACUCCGAGCUGGGUAUUUGUUUACUUGGUGUUUUCUAUCAUCUUGGAAUUCUCAUUCAGGACUCUCUGUUCUGUAUUCAUCCUCUCUCUGGUCUCUGUGCUCUUGGCCUCCUCGCUGAUUAUUCUCUUGCAUGGUUUCUUUCCCUUUAUGGCUCCGUUUUUUUUUCAUUUGUUUCAUGUUGUUUGUGUCAGUAUAUUUAAGCUUGGGGUUGGUUUUUUUCGAUCCUUUCUAACAAAACUUUGUUUAUGUUUUCCUUUCUUUUUCUCCUUGCUAGAUUAUCUGUGCCUUUCCUGUAGUUUUAUUCUAUCAGCAACUGCAGAAAAUUUGUUAGUGCAGUUGAAGGUUUUCCCAUUUGUUUACUGGAAACUUCGUUCUCACUCCAAGUCUUCUUAUUCUGAGGAGGUGUCACCUUCUAUGUAAUAUCACUUGGAUACUGAAACUUCUCCAUGAACUGGAAUAAUGUAUGCUUCAGUGUGCAGUUCUCAGAGCCUCAAGAGAAGGCUUUUCCCUCUGGGAGUGUACUGCAUUUGCUCCUUCUGGCCUGGAGACCUGCCCCUUUAACAGGUAAGCUGGAUGAAAGACCCCAGAGCGACCUCCCCACAGUUACACCUCCUAUUUCCUUUCUGGUUCUCACAUGGGCAGGCACUGAUAAAUCAGCUCACAGUACACAGGCUCAGUUUGAAUUUCAACAAAAUUUUCUAAAAACAGUAACCAGAUGCAAUUCAAAUCACAUUUUGUCCACAUAAGGAAUCCAUUCCAAGAAAAGUCAGAGGAUGCGUCUCGUCAGAUGAGUGGCUUCUAAUCUUCCCUGGCCUUGUUUUAGAACUCCAAGAAGAAAUAAUAUCCAGAUUAAUUUUAGAGUUCAGUCAUUGAAUUUGGUCUCAGGAAAAUUGCAUAUAUAAUUUAGUCUUAUAACGAUAACCCCAAGAUCAAAGAUCACUCAAGGGUAGUGAUCCCUCUAGACACCUGUCACACUCAAAACAAUUUCCUCUUUUCAGUUUAAAUAAUUAUUUCAGACUUUGUUUUCUCACAGGCUACUUUGAAGAAACAGGCCACCAUCCUGGGAGUAAAACAGAGUUCUUCACGAAUUACAUCAUUUAUUUUUCAACAAAUAUUAAUUUAAUUUGGUUUAGUUUAACAAAAGCACAUGAUCACAGAUUUGAUAACCAAAUGGAUUCCUUGACGUAAACUUCAGUCCUGGUUUAGCUCUCUUCCAGGAAGAAAAACAAAGUCUCUCAAAGCUCCAAAUAACCCUGUGAUUUUGGAUGAUUGAUUAUGGGAAUGCUGCUUUCACUGUACAUCCAAGCUCUCCUGGCCUCAGUGGAUAAGUAUAUGAGAGCACAGUUUUCCUGGUGUCAGGAUUUGAAGAUCCAGGGAACAAAGAACCUCAAAGAACAACACCUGGAUCGUCAUGGUUUGGCCAGCAGUGCACUUUCUCCAACCUUACAGUCAUACGCAAGACAUUCCUUCUCCCUUUGAAGAAAUCCACAAAAGAAAAAGCAAAAUACUGACAAGUUUUCAAAGCCAUGAUUUACAGGAAUGAAUUCUGAAAAGCAAGUGGCUAACAUCUGAGUUCAUCAUCAAAUAAUAUUUCUAAAGCACCCUCUAGUGUCUGGCCCCAAGCCAGAUGAUUCAACGCCUGGAGAAGCUACAGACUUUUUAAAAGUAAAAUAGACUCAUGUCUGCUCAUGAGAAGCAAGUCGGCAUCAUUUAGGAUGCCUUAGGAAUGUCUCUCUAAAUAAGGAUUAAAAAUGGAUUGCUGUAGAAAAAGUAAUACAAACAGUGAUAAUAUUGAAUGCAAUUUAAAUUCCAUUUUAAAAUAGACAAUAGGUUUUAAAAUAACACGUUGAAAAUUACACUGGAAUUGGCAAAAUUUAAAAUCUUAGGAAGAAAAAUCCUGAUUUGUAUGUGAAAUGGUUUUGAACUGAGGAAAAUUAAGACUAGCAAGAGUAGAUAGGGGUUGUCUAGUAGGAAUGUUAGACCCAUCAGCCAUCUGAUUAUGCUGUGCCUGAUACUAGCCUGUAGUUUUCACCCAGUAAAUUAUCAAGUGGUGCAGUAGAAAGAGCAUGGUAUGUAGAAUCAUAAGACUCAAAGUCUGGAGUCAGCUCUACUACUCAUUUGGCCAUGUGGUUUGGAAUACAUCACAAAAGAUUUAUGAACCUUCGCUUCUUCACAUGUAAAAUUGUGAUGAUUUUGCCAACUUAAUGGAAUUGUUUAGACUUUAGAGGAUUACAUAGGAUACAAAGGACUAGUUCCUUGAACAAAGUACUUGCCCCCAAAAUGUUACUAUUUUUCUAGUUGUGUGAUUGAUUUUGCAAUCAGCAAUUUAAUAAUAAUGCAUUCAAUAGGUUUAUAAUAUGCAUUCAAUGUGACUCUUGCAUGUAUCUCAUAAAAAUAAAUUUGAAUAUUUUUCUCAUUUUAUCAUUCACAUAUCUUUGAGAAUGGGAUCAUAGUUUUAUUUUGAUAAUGAAGUAAUAGAGUCAAUUCCUGAAUAGGCUAGUUGACUUUAAUGAGAAAUAACCAUUUAUUCAUUCAUUCAUUUCAUUUUCAACUCUUAAAUCCAUAAUGGCCCCUUCACUAACUGGGGUUCUUAUAUUAAUAAGACGGACCAGGUACUUUUAUCACCUCCAAAAAAUCUUUGUAGGCAGAGCAAUAAAGAGUACUGAAUCAUUUUAAGAAGUCACAUAGAAAGUGACUUUUGAACAUGGAAGGACUGGGCUUGAUCAAGCAAAUUCUAUUUCAAAGUUUUACUUGCAAGGUUAUUUAUUACUGUGUGGAAUCUCACUCCUGUGGCUGGGGUCAAGAAAAAUGGGGACACAGGUGUCUGCCUAUUUGCACAGGCAUUAAAAAGUAUUGUAAAAUGAGCUUCAGCCUUUUAAGUUACUGUCUUCUUCUUUAUAAUAAUAAUCUUUUCCAUUUUACAAGGUCUAUAUUAUUUUUAGGUAAGAAAACACUGUAGAGUUCAUGUUUUAUUGUUCCUUGCAGUUAUAUAAAUUAUAUUUGGCCAAAACAAAUGUAAUUCCUACUGUGUGAACUGGGAACCCAAAAUGUUGAUUUUCCUCAAGUUAUAAACAAUGUGAAGAUAUGUUAUACUGGGUCACAAUUUUCCAGAGCAGAGCAAAAUAUAUAACUCAGUUUUAAUAACAAAACUGCAUAUAUCAUUAAAGUUUCCUACUUCACACAGAAUGUAUUAUAUUACUCUGCCCAGCAAGAGACAUCCUUUGUGUAGACCACAAUUUCUAAAAUACCAUUUGAUUGAAUAGAAAACAGGUUAGCCAUUUGUUAGUUUAAAAGAAAAUAUAAUGGUUAAAUGCUCAUGGACAUUCUGCUUUGUCUUUGCUAGUGAAUAUUAAAUUUCUUCUCACUAAGUUUAAAUGUCACAGAUUUUGUAAACGACAAGGUCUGGGGGAAAACCAUUAUGACCCUUUUCUGACUAUUAGAUGAAUCUUCAUAUUUUUAGCAACUUAGAAGCAGAUGUCCUCUCCUUUGCAGCACCAAUAAACCUUAUUUAUACAUGCACUAUAUCAACUUCAAGCCUUAUUGUAAUUAUUUACAUACAAGUCUGCCUCCCCAAAUAGACUUGCAACUUAACAAGGCAAAAUCCAGACUGCAUUAUGUUUGUAUUCUGGGCCCCUGGUUCAAUGCCUACCACAAAGUUGGAGCUCUAGAAAUAUUAAGUAAAAGAAUAUAUGCUGAGAAAUCACCACCAAA